rnacentral:rRNA from 1 species
AGAGUUUGAUCCUGGCUCAGGAUGAACGCUGGCGGCAUGCCUAAUACAUGCAAGUCGAACGAAGUCUUUAGGAAGCUUGCUUCCAAAGAGACUUAGUGGCGAACGGGUGAGUAACACGUAGGUAACCUGCCCAUGUGCCCGGGAUAACUGCUGGAAACGGUAGCUAAAACCGGAUAGGUAUGAGGGAGGCAUCUUCCUCAUAUUAAAGCACCUUCGGGUGUGAACAUGGAUGGACCUGCGGCGCAUUAGCUGGUUGGUGAGGUAACGGCCCACCAAGGCGAUGAUGCGUAGCCGACCUGAGAGGGUGAACGGCCACAUUGGGACUGAGACACGGCCCAAACUCCUACGGGAGGCAGCAGUAGGGAAUUUUCGUCAAUGGGGGGAACCCUGAACGAGCAAUGCCGCGUGUGUGAAGAAGGUCUUCGGAUCGUAAAGCACUGUUGUAAGUGAAGAAUGCCAUAUAGAGGAAAUGCUAUGUGGGUGACGGUAGCUUACCAGAAAGCCACGGCUAACUACGUGCCAGCAGCCGCGGUAAUACGUAGGUGGCAAGCGUUAUCCGGAAUCAUUGGGCGUAAAGGGUGCGUAGGUGGCACGAUAAGUCUGAAGUAAAAGGCAACAGCUCAACUGUUGUAUGCUUUGGAAACUGUCGAGCUAGAGUGCAGAAGAGGGCGAUGGAAUUCCAUGUGUAGCGGUAAAAUGCGUAGAUAUAUGGAGGAACACCAGUGGCGAAGGCGGUCGCCUGGUCUGUAACUGACACUGAUGCACGAAAGCGUGGGGAGCAAAUAGGAUUAGAUACCCUAGUAGUCCACGCCGUAAACGAUGAGAACUAAGUGUUGGAGAGAUUCAGUGCUGCAGUUAACGCAAUAAGUUCUCCGCCUGGGGAGUAUGCACGCAAGUGUGAAACUCAAAGGAAUUGACGGGGGCCCGCACAAGCGGUGGAGUAUGUGGUUUAAUUCGAAGCAACGCGAAGAACCUUACCAGGGCUUGACAUCCCACGGCUGGAAUUAGAGAUAGUUCUUUCUCUUCGGAGACUGUGGAGACAGGUGGUGCAUGGUUGUCGUCAGCUCGUGUCGUGAGAUGUUGGGUUAAGU